rnacentral:rRNA from 1 species
CGGGAAGAUAUCUAGGGCGCACGGCGGAUGCCUUGGCACAUGGAGCCGACGAAGGACGCGGCAAGCUGCGAUAAUCCGCGGGGAGGGGCACACGCCCGACGAUCCGCGGGUCUCCGAAUGGGCGAACCCGCCAGCGGAAGCGCUGGCAUCCCCCUUGGGAACUCAUACCUUGGGGGAGGACAACCCGGGGAACUGAAACAUCUAAGUACCCGGAGGAGAAGAAAUCAACUGCGAGAUUCCCCGAGUAGCGGCGAGCGAAAGGGGACCUAGGCCAAACCGGCGAGCGGGCGGGCGCCAGCCUAUACCGCCGCCGGGGUUGCAGGGCCCCCCGCCCGGGAGCUGGCGCUCCCGGCGGGUUUCCGCGCAGGGGAGCCGAACGGCAUGGGAAGGCCGGCGGCACAGGGUUAGGGCCCCGUAGGCGGACCCUGGCGCGGAACCCGGUGGGGGCCCCUGAGUAGGGCCGGGCACGUGAAACCCGGUCCGAACCCGGGGGGACCACCCUCCAAGCCUGAAUACUCCCAUGUGACCGAUAGCGCACCAGUACCGUGAGGGAAAGGUGAAAAGCACCCCGGGAGGGGAGUGAAACAGUACCUGAAACCGUGCGCCCGCAAGGCGUCGGAGCGCCCCCCGGGGCGUGACGGCGUGCCUUUUGUAGAAUGAGCCAGCGAGUUGCUGGCACGCGGCGAGGUUAAGCUGUGAAGCGAGCCGGAGCGAAAGCGAGUCCGAAUGGGGCGUCAAGUCGCGUGCCGCAGACGCGAAGCCGGGUGAGCUAUCCCUGGGCAGGCUGAAGCGGGGGUAAGACCCCGUGGAGGGCCGAACGGACGUACGUUGAAAAGUGCGCCGAUGACCUGGGGAUAGGGGUGAAAGGCCUAUCAAACCCGGAGAUAUCUCGUUCUCCCCGAAAUAGCUUUAGGGCUAGCGUCGCGCGUUAACCGCCGGAGGUAGAGCACCGGAUCGAUGAGGGGGCCUCACCGCCUACCGACUCGAACCGAACUCCGAAUGCCGGUCGGUCCAGAGCGCGGCAGUCAGAGCAUGUGGGCUAAGCUGUGUGCUCGAGAGGGAAACAGCCCAGACCGCCCGCUAAGGUCCCUAAUUCUCAGCCGAGUGGCAAAGGAUGUGCGUCCGCGCAGACAACCAGGAGGUUGGCUUAGAAGCAGCCACCCCUUCAAAGAGUGCGUAACAGCUCACUGGUCGAGUGGACAUGCGCCGACAAUACACGGGGCUAAGCUGAGAACCGAAGCGGCGGGAUGUAAUAUUUACAUCGGUAGGGGAGCGUCCCCAGCGGGGCGAAGCCGGAGGGUCACCGACGGUGGACUGCUGGGGAGCGAGAAUGCUGGCAUGAGUAGCGAGAGACGAGAGAGUAACUCGUCCGCCGUGAACCCGAGGUUUCCUGGGCAAGGCUAAUCCUCCCAGGGUCAGUCGGGGGCUAAGCCGAGGGCGGAUGCCGUAGGCGAAGCGCAGCAGGUGGACAUUCCUGCACCGGAGACGCGCCGUCACGACCGACGGGGCGACGGAUUGGGGUGGCUCGGCGGGGUUCUGGACGUCCCCGUGAUGGAGCGCGGCCCGGGAACCAGGCAAAUCCGGUUCCCGCGAGGGGUUAGGCUCCGGACGAAGCGAUCGAGCGAAGCGAGUGAGCCCGUGGUCCCCAGAAAAACCCCUAGGCAGGGGCGUCUCCGCCCGUACCGCAAACCGACACAGGUGGGUGGGUAGAACAUACCGAGGCGAUCGGGUCAACCAUGGUCAAGGAACUCGGCAAAAUGGCCCCGUAACUUCGGGAGAAGGGGCGCCCCCGCGUACGUGAACCGGCUCGCCCGGGGAGCGGAGGGGGGCCGCAGUGGAGAGGCCCAAGCGACUGUUUACCAAAAACACAGGACUCUGCAGAAGGCGAGAGCCGACGUAUAGGGUCUGACGCCUGCCCGGUGCCGGAAGGUCACGCGGAGGGGUUAGCGCGAGCGAAGCCCCGAAGCCAAGCCCCGGUAAACGGCGGCCGUAACUAUAACGGUCCUAAGGUAGCGAAAUUCCUUGUCGGGUAAG